rnacentral:rRNA from 1 species
ACAUAAGUAACCUGGCCUUUACAGGGGGAUAACUAUUGGAAACGAUAGCUAAGACCGCAUAGGUGUGAUAACCGCAUGGAGAUGACAUGAAAUAUGCUACGGCAUAGGUAGAGGAUGGACUUAUGGCGCAUAGCUAGUUGGAGGGGUAACGGCCCACCAAGGCGACGAUGCGUAGCCGACCUGAGAGGGUGACCGGCCACACUGGGACUGAGACACGGCCCAGACUCCUACGGGAGGCAGCAGUAGGGAAUUUUCGGCAAUAGGGGAAACCCUGACCGAGCAACGCCGCGUGAAGGAAGAAGUAAUUCGUUAUGUAAACUUCUGUCAUAGAGGAAGAACGGUGCGUGUAGGGAAUGACAUGCAAGUGACGGUACUCUAUAAGAAAGCCACGGCUAACUACGUGCCAGCAGCCGCGGUAAUACGUAGGUGGCGAGCGUUAUCCGGAGUUAUUGGGCGUAAAGAGGGAGCAGGCGGCACUAAGUGUCUGUGGUGAAAGAUCGAAGCUUAACUUCGGUAAGCCAUGGAAACCGUAGAGCUAGAGUGUGUGAGAGGAUCGUGGAAUUCCAUGUGUAGCGGUGAAAUGCGUAGAUAUAUGGAGGAACACCAGUGGCGAAGGCGACGAUCUGGCGCAUAACUGACGCUCAGUCCCGAAAGCGUGGGGAGCAAAUAGGAUUAGAUACCCUAGUAGUCCACGCCGUAAACGAUGAGUACUAAGUGUUGGGAGUCAAAUCUCAGUGCUGCAGUUAACGCAAUAAGUACUCCGCCUGAGUACUACGUUCGCAAGAAUGAAACUCAAAGGAAUUGACGGGGGCCCGCACAAGCGGUGGAGCAUGUGGUUUAAUUCGAACAACGCGAAGAACCUUACCAGGUCUUGACAUCGAUCUAAAGGCUCCAGAGAUGGAGAGAUAGCUAUAGAGAAGACAGGUGGUGCAUGGUUGUCGUCAGCUCGUGUCGUGAGAUGUUGGGUUAAGUCCCGCAACGAGCGCAACCCCUGUUGCCAGUUGCCAGCAUUAAGUUGGGGACUCUGGCGAGACUGCCGGUGACAAGCCGGAGGAAGGCGGGGAUGACGUCAAAUCAUCAUGCCCCUUAUGACCUGGGCUACACACGUGCUACAAUGGACAGAGCAGAGGGAAGCGAAGCCGCGAGGUGGAGCGAAACCCAGAAAACUGUUCUCAGUUCGGACUGCAGUCUGCAACUCGACUGCACGAAGUUGGAUCGCUAGUAAUCGCGAAUCAGCAUGUCGCGGUGAAUACGUUCUCGGGCCUUGUACACACCGCCCGUCACACCAUGAGAGUCGGUGACACCCGAAGCCGGUGGCCUAACCGCAAGGAAGGAGCUGUCUAAGGUGGGACUGAUGAUUGGGGUGAAGUCGUAACAAGGCA